GUUUUUCCAUGAGAGCAACGCAUGCUUAUCUGAGAAAGCGUGAGACAGAGGAGUGGAGAGGAGAGUGGCAGCCUGGUGCCCUGGGGACUUCUACAUCUGUCCCAAGGCCAGUUCUUGACUCUGCGUGCAGACACGACGCUUCAACCUCCUCCACGGUCCUCACGGUGCAGCCUGGGCCCCGGUCAGGGUCUGGCUCCAGGAUCUCAAAUGUGGCCCAGGUCCCAGAACACCUGGUUGUGCAAUCCAGAUGCCACCCUCUCCCCCUCCAACCUGACCAGCUGCACCUUUUCUCUCCUGUGUCACUGCCUGGCGUGAGGGGCUGCUCCUCCGUGGGAAACACCAGCAGUCAGAGCCAGGUCUGCCCUCCUCCCGAAGGCUCUGAGCACCGGCUCCCUGGGCCUUCUCUUGGCUCCAGGUUCACUUCCAGCUCCAGGACACCAGCACGUGGGGCAGGAGAGGUGGCCUCUGUGCGUGGUGCCAGCUGCACGGUGCUGUGCCGGCUUACUCCCACAAGCCUGCUGGCCUGUGCUGGGGGUGGGUCACGGAUGUGCCCAGUGCUGAGGGAUGCGGGCCAGCCUGGGGGAGCCCUGACCCUGAGGAUGCAGUGCAUCGGCCGGGGCUGCAGGGAUCCACGCGCCUGGGGUCCGGGAUUUGCCUACCUUCUGGUAGAUUGGUGAAGAACCGAAUGUGUGAGCGAGGGAGGAAUGAGGCGACGGCUGCACUGUGAACACACAGCAAGCUGGAGCGAUCGUCCGUCUUCGCGCGGCGGGCACAGCCUCCACUCACAUCGUUGGCUGGCGUUUCCUGGAGACGGAGGGAAGACUGGCUGAAGGAGUUAUGGAACCUCCAGACAGGUGUCGCAUGCAGAAGGAGCGGGCGGCGCCGUUGGCCUCCUUCCUCGGGCUGAGGUGCUGCGUGGACCUGGGACACCGCCUUUGGGUCCUGGACCAGUUGGGAGGGUGGGUGUGGGGCUGGCAGCAGGGCCGCCCCGGCCUCUGGGGUGUACCUGGGCACCCAGGUGUGGUGCCCCGUCUCCCGCCUCCUGGGCAGUCUGUUCUGGCUUUCCUGGAGAAACACAAGGCAAAGGGCAGAACUGACCUCUGACCUCUGACCUCAGAGUCCAAGGCACCUCAGUGGUCUCUCGUCCAGCUUCGCACUCCAUGCAGGGACCCCGGACCCUCCGAAGCCUGCCUGAGGGUAGAGCUCCCUGCCCCAGGACAGUGCUUCCUGAGGGGCCUGAGCUGCUGCUGGAACCUGCCUUCCGGGCCUGGCUGAACCCCAAGUCCCACAGGGCGAUGGGGUCUGGUCCUCUCCCGAGGGGGCCACGCGGUUCAGACCCCAGAGCAGCCUCCCCCUCUGCCUUUGCCCUUCCCUGCCCUUGGUCGUGUUUAUAAGAAAUAAAAGACGUAAGUGAAUAUAUUUACA
rnacentral:lncRNA from 1 species